CUCUCUCUCUCUCGAUCCAGCAAAACAACAAAUUCCUCAGGUCCACCGCCCACUUGGAUCAUUCGCGGUCGAGCGUUCCAAGUGAUCGGACGUCUUCGCUUCGAGUUGAUUAAAUUUUGGAGCCGAGUCCAAUCUAAUCAAAAGUGCAGUUCAGAACCUUAUUAUUUUGUGUUUGUACCGCUUCUCGCGUCACACAAGUGAAAGAAAAUAGAGAGUGGGGCGCUCUCUCUGUACUAACAGUUGUCGCUCAUUUCUCUCGGUUGCCGUGUGUGUGCGUGUAUUUUUAGUCAGUGUCACUGGUUGUCAUUUCGCGGCGCCUAGAAAGUUAGUACUCGGGGUGGCAGAUCGUCGCGCAACGAAAACACAUCUCAGUAGUCGGUGGGCAGCAGCAGCAGCAGAAGCUAGUUUGGUGGAUCCGGUCCCGUGCGGUGUCCUGUGGCCUACUAGGAUCUUAAGGAUCUAAAGAAGAAGCCGAACCGUGUGUGUGUGAACGAGCGCGCGCGUGUGUGUGUUUGUCCGUCGUUGUGGUUCUAGCCAGCUUUGUCCGACGACCCAGCAUCCAAACCAAAACCAGCGAAGAUGUCGAAAUUCGCCUGGGUGACGCUAGCGACCAAUGAUUCGUACUCGCUGGGCGCCCUGGUCGUGGCGCACUCGCUCAAGCGGGUCCACACGGCACACCAGCUGGCCGUCCUGAUAACGCCCGGCGUGUCCGAGUCGAUGAAGAACAAACUGCGCACAGUGUUCAACCUGGUCGAGGAGGUCAACCUGCUCGACUCGAAGGACAAAAGCAACCUGGCCCUGCUGAAGCGUCCCGAGCUGGGCAUCACAUUCACAAAGCUGCACUGCUGGCGCCUCACGCAGUACGAGAAGUGCGUCUUCCUGGACGCGGACACCCUGGUCCUUCGGAACUGCGACGAGCUGUUCGAGCGGGAGGAACUGUCGGCCGCUCCGGACGUCGGUUGGCCCGACUGCUUCAACUCGGGCGUGUACGUGUACAAGCCGAACCUGGAAACGUUCAGCAGCCUGAUGGAGUACGCGGUGUCGCACGGCAGCUUCGACGGCGGCGACCAGGGCCUGCUCAACUGGUACUUUUCCGACUGGGCCCACAAGGACAUUGCAAAGCACUUGCCGUUCGUGUACAACACCUCGUCGGUGGCGUCCUACUCGUACCUUCCGGCGUUUAAGCAGUUCGGCCAAAACACCAAGAUCCUUCACUUUAUCGGCACGGCCAAACCGUGGCUGCAGAACUUCAACUCGGAGACGCGCAAGGUUUACAUCCCGGGCGGUUACCAGCAUCUGGCCAACUUCCUUCAGUUCUGGUGGGACAUCUUCUGCGAAGACGUCCACUCGCGCCUCAGCGCCGAUAUGUCUGAACUACUUAGGGAUAAACUAGACGUGAGUCAACAGCAACGCGUGUUUGAUCCGUGGAUUAAGCCCGUUCCGGUCAGUGGUAGUGCGUACCGGUCGGUGGGAACCGACUACUUGGCACCGCAAGGUCAGCAACAGCAUUUCCACCAGGGUGGUCAGCAAUUUGGUGAUGGAGGUGGUGGUGGUGGCUUAGACGCUAACGGUAACUAUGGCACGCAAGCUUGGCACGCGCGGGAAGAGUUCAUUCCUAGCUAUGAGACCCUGACGGAGUACGUAGACCCCUGGGAAGACUAUCUGCGCAAGCAGGACGAAGAGCGCGAACGACGUGCUCUGGAAGGACAAAAGCGUGAAGAAGAACGACUGUACUUCCAGUAUCUGGACAACCAACGCAACCAGGAACAUCAACAAUGGUUGCAACAACAGCAGCAAUCAGAUCAUACCCAUCACGAACAUCCUCAUCACGAGCAUCACCAUCACCAAGCUAAUGUUUUUCAGAGCACAGAGCACUGGGUAGAAAACGUGCAAUCCCGUGACCAGCAGGGUCACUGGGAAAACCCGCCACAACCGGCACCACAAAUGCCGCCGACCUCCGACUGGCAGCCGGAGCACCACGCGGAACACCAUCAUCACCAUCCAGCAGAGCAACAACAGCACCACGAUCAGUCACAGGGGGGAACUCAUACGGGGCAUGAGAGUGGCGUGAGUGCCGAUGGUGGUGGUGGUGGUGGCGGCGGCGGCAAUGAGUUCCAUCAGCAGGAACAAACGCAACAACAUCAAGAAUCACACCCACAACAAGAACAGCAACAUCAGGAAGGUGACGGGAGUGGCCUUGCCGGAGCGUUAUCUCAGCUGCACCUCGGUGAACCGAAAUCCAGCGAACAGGAAGCCUACGAGGAGCACAUGCGCCGCCAGUGCUGGGAAUCGGGCAACAUUGACUACAUGGGACGGGACUCGUUCGACAACAUCUGGCGUCGCAUCAAGCAAACCCUGGACGAAGCAGCAGCCGCGGCCGCUGCCAAGGAAUCGACCCCGCCAACCCCGGUCCGUGCCAUCAGUCCUGCUCCGAUGCGCUUCCGCCACUCGUCCAAGUCCCGCUCGCGGUCCACCACGCCCAAACGGGACAUGCGGGACCGGUCGCCCACUCCGCAGCCCGAGGACAACGUACCUGUCGAGAAGAAGGAAGUUCAAAUCGAGCCGGCAAUUCAGGAAGAGGACGACGGUCCAAGUGCGGCCGCCCAACUGGACGAGAGUGCCAAGCGUUCGAAACUGCCAGCGCCGCCGGUCCAGUACGAUCCGAAGACGAGUACGACUACACUGACCAAGAAAGUAUUUGCAGGUUACCAACAGGUCAUCACCACGAAAAGUCCCGAGGGUAAGACCCAUACGCAUACCAAAACCGUGUACGACCCCAGUGUCGACGAGGUCGACGCUCCGAUCAAAGUAGCCUCCGCCCCCGUCGUGGAAACCGAACAGAAAGCCACGCCCCCUCCAGUGACGUCCACUUCUUCGUCGCCACCACCACGAGCCGAAGAAGUGCCGACGACCAAAUCGACUCCUCCACGAGUCUCAGCCUCUCCCAAACCUCAGAUGCCGCAGCCGCAGCAGCAGCAGGUUGCCCAGGAAACGAUGGCAGGUAAAACUCCCGCAUCCACUGAACCGGUCAAAUUAAUCCGUCGCAAGCGACUUUCGUCACCACAAGCCACGCCCCCCACAGCCACACCUCCAGUCACUCAUGCGUUGUCGUCGCCAUCUUUGCCUACUGCGCCGAAAACCGUGCUCACUAAGACCGCAACGGCUGUCAAAUCCCCACCAAAGACUUCUACCACUACAACUACAAGUGCUACUAAGCCUACUACGACGCCAUCAGUCGCCACUCAUCAUCACUCACUACCACCGGCGUUGUCCAGAACCCGUUCCGCAGAACCCGUUACGACCGCCGCUGCCAACACGGACGGAGCGGUCACUUCCGAAGCAGUGGCUCCGCCACCGGUUCCACCCCGUCGCAAGCGGGAAAGUAAAGUCACUCGAUUAGGUAAAGCCCACCAAUAAUACGUCAUUACACCACCACAACUACUACUUUACCGGCACUCGUUCAAAAGCAAACAAAAACUAUGUUUUAUUCGUUGGUCGAAAUUCUUCCGCACGUUCUGUACGAUACUGUGAAAGUGUGUCCCUCCAAACAAACAGUGAAAUAAACCGAUCCAACCAAUUCGAUGUUAUCCAACUAAUGAGCCUCCAAACAAA